rnacentral:rRNA from 1 species
CCUACGGGUGGCAGCAGUGGGGGAUAUUGCACAAUGGGGGAAACCCUGAUGCAGCGACGCCGCGUGUGGGAAGACGGUCCUCUGGAUUGUAAAGUUCUUUUCUAAGGGAAGAAGAAAGUGACGGUACCUUAGGAAUAAGCCUCGUCUAACUACGUGCCAGCAGCCGCGGUAAUACGUAGGAGGCGAGCGUUAUCCGGAAUGACUGGGCGUAAAGGGUGCGUAGGUGGUUUGGCAAGUUAGUAGCGUAACUCCAAGGCUCAACCUUGGAACUACUACUAAAACUGUUGGACUUGAGUGCAGGAGGGGCAACCGGAAUUCCUAGUGUAGCGGUGGAAUGCGUAGAUAUUAGGAGGAACACCAGUGGCGAAGGCGGGUUGCUAGACUGUAACUGACACGGAGGCACGAAAGCGUGGGGAGCAAACAGGAUUAGAUACCCCAGUAGUC